UUCGAUCAGGCGACGGUGGAGUUCCUCGGGACGUUCAUCCUAAUGUUCACCCAAGUGUCGGCCAUCAUCAUGGACGAGCAGCACGACGGCGUGGAGGGCCUCAUGGGCGUCGCCGUGUUCGUGGGCCUGGCGGUCACGGUGCUCGUCUUCUCCACCAUCCAUGUCUCCGGGUGCCACCUGAACCCCGCGGCGAGCAUCGCCAUAGCGGCCUUCAGCUACCUCCCGCCGGCCCACCUCGUCCCCUACGUCGCCGCGCAGGUGCUGGGAUCCACCGCCGCCUCGUUCGUGGGCAACGCCAUCUACCACCGCGUGAACCCCGGCAUUGCCACCGUCCCGAGCGUCGGCGCCGUCGAGGCCUUCGCCGUUGAGUUCAUCAUCACCUUCGUCCUUAUCUAUCACAAUACAAUGUUUAACACUCCCCCUCAAUCACAACUUUCU
rnacentral:rRNA from 1 species